rnacentral:rRNA from 2 species
UUAAGCGACUAAGCGUACACGGUGGAUGCCCUGGCAGUCAGAGGCGAUGAAGGACGUGCUAAUCUGCGAUAAGCGUCGGUAAGGUGAUAUGAACCGUUAUAACCGGCGAUUUCCGAAUGGGGAAACCCAGUGUGAUUCGUCACACUAUCAUUAACUGAAUCCAUAGGUUAAUGAGGCGAACCGGGGGAACUGAAACAUCUAAGUACCCCGAGGAAAAGAAAUCAACCGAGAUUCCCCCAGUAGCGGCGAGCGAACGGGGAGCAGCCCAGAGCCUGAAUCAGUGUGUGUGUUAGUGGAAGCGUCUGGAAAGGCGCGCGAUACAGGGUGACAGCCCCGUACACAAAAAUGCACAUGCUGUGAGCUCGAUGAGUAGGGCGGGACACGUGGUAUCCUGUCUGAAUAUGGGGGGACCAUCCUCCAAGGCUAAAUACUCCUGACUGACCGAUAGUGAACCAGUACCGUGAGGGAAAGGCGAAAAGAACCCCGGCGAGGGGAGUGAAAAAGAACCUGAAACCGUGUACGUACAAGCAGUGGGAGCCUCUUUAUGGGGUGACUGCGUACCUUUUGUAUAAUGGGUCAGCGACUUAUAUUCUGUAGCAAGGUUAACCGAAUAGGGGAGCCGAAGGGAAACCGAGUCUUAACUGGGCGUUAAGUUGCAGGGUAUAGACCCGAAACCCGGUGAUCUAGCCAUGGGCAGGUUGAAGGUUGGGUAACACUAACUGGAGGACCGAACCGACUAAUGUUGAAAAAUUAGCGGAUGACUUGUGGCUGGGGGUGAAAGGCCAAUCAAACCGGGAGAUAGCUGGUUCUCCCCGAAAGCUAUUUAGGUAGCGCCUCGUGAAUUCAUCUCCGGGGGUAGAGCACUGUUUCGGCAAGGGGGUCAUCCCGACUUACCAACCCGAUGCAAACUGCGAAUACCGGAGAAUGUUAUCACGGGAGACACACGGCGGGUGCUAACGUCCGUCGUGAAGAGGGAAACAACCCAGACCGCCAGCUAAGGUCCCAAAGUCAUGGUUAAGUGGGAAACGAUGUGGGAAGGCCCAGACAGCCAGGAUGUUGGCUUAGAAGCAGCCAUCAUUUAAAGAAAGCGUAAUAGCUCACUGGUCGAGUCGGCCUGCGCGGAAGAUGUAACGGGGCUAAACCAUGCACCGAAGCUGCGGCAGCGACGCUUAUGCGUUGUUGGGUAGGGGAGCGUUCUGUAAGCCUGCGAAGGUGUACUGUGAGGUAUGCUGGAGGUAUCAGAAGUGCGAAUGCUGACAUAAGUAACGAUAAAGCGGGUGAAAAGCCCGCUCGCCGGAAGACCAAGGGUUCCUGUCCAACGUUAAUCGGGGCAGGGUGAGUCGACCCCUAAGGCGAGGCCGAAAGGCGUAGUCGAUGGGAAACAGGUUAAUAUUCCUGUACUUGGUGUUACUGCGAAGGGGGGACGGAGAAGGCUAUGUUGGCCGGGCGACGGUUGUCCCGGUUUAAGCGUGUAGGCUGGUUUUCCAGGCAAAUCCGGAAAAUCAAGGCUGAGGCGUGAUGACGAGGCACUACGGUGCUGAAGCAACAAAUGCCCUGCUUCCAGGAAAAGCCUCUAAGCAUCAGGUAACAUCAAAUCGUACCCCAAACCGACACAGGUGGUCAGGUAGAGAAUACCAAGGCGCUUGAGAGAACUCGGGUGAAGGAACUAGGCAAAAUGGUGCCGUAACUUCGGGAGAAGGCACGCUGAUAUGUAGGUGAAGUCCCUUGCGGAUGGAGCUGAAAUCAGUCGAAGAUACCAGCUGGCUGCAACUGUUUAUUAAAAACACAGCACUGUGCAAACACGAAAGUGGACGUAUACGGUGUGACGCCUGCCCGGUGCCGGAAGGUUAAUUGAUGGGGUUAGCGGUAACGCGAAGCUCUUGAUCGAAGCCCCGGUAAACGGCGGCCGUAACUAUAACGGUCCUAAGGUAGCGAAAUUCCUUGUCGGGUAAGUUCCGACCUGCACGAAUGGCGUAAUGAUGGCCAGGCUGUCUCCACCCGAGACUCAGUGAAAUUGAACUCGCUGUGAAGAUGCAGUGUACCCGCGGCAAGACGGAAAGACCCCGUGAACCUUUACUAUAGCUUGACACUGAACAUUGAGCCUUGAUGUGUAGGAUAGGUGGGAGGCUUUGAAGUGUGGACGCCAGUCUGCAUGGAGCCGACCUUGAAAUACCACCCUUUAAUGUUUGAUGUUCUAACGUUGGCCCCUAAUCGGGGUUGCGGACAGUGUCUGGUGGGUAGUUUGACUGGGGCGGUCUCCUCCUAAAGAGUAACGGAGGAGCACGAAGGUUGGCUAAUCCUGGUCGGACAUCAGGAGGUUAGUGCAAUGGCAUAAGCCAGCUUGACUGCGAGCGUGACGGCGCGAGCAGGUGCGAAAGCAGGUCAUAGUGAUCCGGUGGUUCUGAAUGGAAGGGCCAUCGCUCAACGGAUAAAAGGUACUCCGGGGAUAACAGGCUGAUACCGCCCAAGAGUUCAUAUCGACGGCGGUGUUUGGCACCUCGAUGUCGGCUCAUCACAUCCUGGGGCUGAAGUAGGUCCCAAGGGUAUGGCUGUUCGCCAUUUAAAGUGGUACGCGAGCUGGGUUUAGAACGUCGUGAGACAGUUCGGUCCCUAUCUGCCGUGGGCGCUGGAGAACUGAGGGGGGCUGCUCCUAGUACGAGAGGACCGGAGUGGACGCAUCACUGGUGUUCGGGUUGUCAUGCCAAUGGCACUGCCCGGUAGCUAAAUGCGGAAGAGAUAAGUGCUGAAAGCAUCUAAGCACGAAACUUGCCCCGAGAUGAGUUCUCCCUGACUCCCUGAGAGUCCUGAAGGAACGUUGAAGACGACGACGUUGAUAGGCCGGGUGUGUAAGCGCAGCGAUGCGUUGAGCUAACCGGUACUAAUGAACCGUGAGGCUUAACCUU